rnacentral:SRP_RNA from 1 species
UCGCACUAGUCGGGGAGUUAGCGGUGCCCUGUACCCGCAAUCCGCUAUAGCGGGGAUGAAUUCCCACACCCGGACUUGUAGGAGUGCCGUCCGGACCGUGUAAGCGGUGUUGAAGGAACGGUCCCGCGCAACGGGAUCCCGUGAACCAUGUCAGGUGGGGAACCAAGCAGCAUUAAGCGGAUCUUCCCGUGUGCCGUGGGAUUGCCGUUCCAGAGCUGGCUGCAUGGAUACCGGGCAUUCCUCCUGUUCAAAUGUGGGUGUGCGA